UCCCUGGUGGUCUAGUGGUUAAGACUUUGCCUUCCAAUGCAGGGGGUGAGGGUUCAAUCCCCGUUCAGGGAG
rnacentral:tRNA from 1 species